UGGAUUAUCUGAGGAAAGGGGCAGGCGUUCCAGGAGUUUGCAUCUCUGAGACUGGAGAUGAAGAUGGGUGGGGGGGUGGGGGUGGGUAGAAAUAAUGAGGUCAGGGCCCCGCGCAGUGGCUCAUGCCUGUAAUCCCAGCACUUCGGAAGGGCGAGGCAGGUGGAUCACCUGAGGUCAGGAGUUUGAGACCAGCCUGACCAACAUGGUGAAACCCCAUCUGCACUAAAAAUACAAAAAAUUUAGCCGGGUUUGGUGGCAGGCGCCUGUACUCCCAGCUACUUGAGAGGAGGCUGAGGCAGAAGAAUCACUUGAACCCGGGAGGCAGAAGUUGCAGUGAGCCAAGACUGUGCCACUGCAAUCCAGCCUGGGCAAAAGAGCGAGACUCCAUCUCAAAAAUAAUAAUAAUAAUAAUGAGGUCAGUUUCAGACGUGCUUUUGAGACAUCUGUGGGCAUAUAGUCUGGAGCUCAGAAGAGACAUCAAGGCCAGUUAGAGAAAUCGAGAACAAUUAAAGUAUGGAGGGUAGUCGAAAGCAUC
rnacentral:antisense_RNA from 1 species